GAUGAACGCUAGCUACAGGCUUAACACAUGCAAGUCGAGGGGCAGCAUGGUCUUAGCUUGCUAAGGCCGAUGGCGACCGGCGCACGGGUGAGUAACACGUAUCCAACCUGCCGUCUACUCUUGGACAGCCUUCUGAAAGGAAGAUUAAUACAAGAUGGCAUCAUGAGUCCGCAUGUUCACAUGAUUAAAGGUAUUCCGGUAGACGAUGGGGAUGCGUUCCAUUAGAUAGUAGGCGGGGUAACGGCCCACCUAGUCUUCGAUGGAUAGGGGUUCUGAGAGGAAGGUCCCCCACAUUGGAACUGAGACACGGUCCAAACUCCUACGGGAGGCAGCAGUGAGGAAUAUUGGUCAAUGGGCGAGAGCCUGAACCAGCCAAGUAGCGUGAAGGAUGACUGCCCUAUGGGUUGUAAACUUCUUUUAUAAAGGAAUAAAGUCGGGUAUGGAUACCCGUUUGCAUGUACUUUAUGAAUAAGGAUCGGCUAACUCCGUGCCAGCAGCCGCGGUAAUACGGAGGAUCCGAGCGUUAUCCGGAUUUAUUGGGUUUAAAGGGAGUGUAGAUGGAUAUUUAAGUCAGUUGUGAAAGUUUGCGGCUCAACCGUAAAAUUGCAGUUGAUACUGGAUAUCUUGAGUGCAGUUGAGGCAGGCGGAAUUCGUGGUGUAGCGGUGAAAUGCUUAGAUAUCACGAAGAACUCCGAUUGCGAAGGCAGCCUGCUAAGCUGCAACUGACAUUGAGGCUCGAAAGUGUGGGUAUCAAACAGG
rnacentral:rRNA from 1 species